ACGCUUUCUCUUUGACUUUGAACAUCCAGCUCUACUUGUUUCUUCUCUUGGUGCUGGCAUAUCAGUGUCAACUGAAUCAGAUUCCUCAUCCUUUUCUGCAUCUACUCUAGAAUCUAAACUAGCUUCUCCUUGCUGGACACUCCAUCCUUCUGCUCCAGUCACAGUAACAGCACCAAACUCUGCUUCAAAAACAUCCAUGUUUGGAGGCACUUUGGUCUUGUACUUUCU
rnacentral:lncRNA from 1 species